rnacentral:tRNA from 1 species
GGAAAUGUGCCCGAGACCCCAGGGGCUACCUUGAUAGAGUAGAAACAGGAACACACCUCAUUUCCC